rnacentral:lncRNA from 1 species
UUCGACCAUAACAUUAAUUAUUUCGUGAAAAUUAAAUAUUUAUCACCAAUACUUUCUCGUCAUGAUUCAAUACAUCGCUUUUAGUGUAAACAUUUUACACGACAAAUCUUUUCUCGUUCACACCGUAUAUCGGACUUCUCUCUCCAAAUGCAUACCAAUUUCCGUUGGUUUAUACUUUAUAGCCCUAUAGUCCGGCUCACGAAAUUGGCGGCUGAUUUUAGCGCUCCCAGUGGCGUAUUUUUGUUAGGGCUAUUAGUAGUAAAUAGCCCUAACAAAAACGUGUGCACGGUCUUAGAAGGUCGGACAACUAUUCAUUAUCAGGGCCCGUUUUACAAUCAUUUUGGUUUAUUAUAAACCAACUAGUUUAUAUGGUUGAAGAAAAUAAUAUAAUAAUAUAGUCCAUAAAAAUAACCCCGAAUUCCAUAUAAAUAAUGUUCUUAACCUCAAAAUACGUCUAACCGGCAGAACCGUCUAACGUUUUUGCCUCAUUAAGACUUAAGGGAAAUGUGAUGGGCGGGAGGGAGAGAAGUUGUCCGACCUUAUCUUCUAACUGUGCACUAAAUUAUUUAAAUGUCUCGAUGUUUAUAGGUUAUCAUAAUCUAUAGUGGAAGAUGGUCGAGGCUUAAGGUGAACCUUGGACGAUGGUGACAAUUUUUAAUAAUCGUAUCCGGUGUAACCGGUUCACAACUACGUCGCGUUUGACCGUUUCGUGUAGUGUCGAUCAAAUCGUAUUGUGAUUGGAUAUUACUACUUUUUUGGUAUGAUGCGGUAACCAAGUUGCCACUGAGUAUACCAAGGGUUGACUAGCUGUAACCAUAGCUACCACGUCCUCGCACGAAACGCCACAUCGACACCACAACUCUAACCUAACUUAUUGCUGUGAAGUCGGCUUGUAUAGGAUUGUUGUGUUUUUUAUUUUGCGUUUUGAUCCGUGCAUGCUAUUUAGGUUCUGUGUUUAAAUUAUGCUGUUCGUUAGAUCCCAGAAAAAUAAACAUUUAUUUUCUCAUUGUAUCAGAUAACAGACUAAGUGAUGUAACGGGAUGUUAGUUAUCAACUAGUUACAGGCAUGUUUCAUUACACCCUUAUACAUUUUCAAAGCCUGAACUUCAGUUAAAACGUGGACAGUUUAUAUUAUGGUUACUGAAUACUGCUUGCUGGCAUAAAGGAACAUCAUUAAAAACUCAUUGUUCUGGUGAAAAAUAAUUAAAAUAUCUGUUUGUUAAUCUGGAAAAUCUGGAAUUAUUCAUCUUCAGUUCAAGAACAAAAAAAUGGUUAUUUGUCAAAUAAUGGUUAAUUAAACGAUUGUAGUUUUCAAAUGAUAUAAAUGAAAAUUGACCUUUAUGUAUACCAUCUGAACCAAUCGUAGCAGAAGACCUGUACUUUUUGUAUGUCGUAUCCGUAUAUAUAAUAUUUUUUCAUAUCCAAUCAUCACCAACAUACAAUUUCAAAUCUGUAUGUGGUAAUACAGAUUUGCAGAAUUCUACUAAACUUACAGCAACAUCAAAUAUUUACUGACAAUGAUUCAAAUGCUGUUCGUGUGGUUAAUACUGUUGCUUGCUCCUUCUACUACUGAAUCACCAUCAAAUUCCUCGAGUCCAGAAAAUUGUUUCAGUUGGAUUAAAAACAUGGGAGGAAAAAAUGCUUCCUUACAAGAAAUAAAUUCAGUGCAUAGUUUUUAUAAUAUAAAAAUUAAAAAAUGUACACUUCAAUGUGGACAUUCUAGUAUUUAAUGAUAAUACACCAACAUUAUAGUUGCACCAUCUUAACCAAAUCACACUAGUGAACAGCAACCAAAUGAAUCAUUAGUUUCAUUUUAAAUUGCAUUGUUUUGAUACAAAUAAUGAUAUUUGUAUUAAGCCACAAGACUAAAAACUUAAACAUAGUUCACAUACUCAGCAAAAUAAUAUGUAAGUUUAAUAUUAUAAUAUACUCUAUUCAACUUAAGAAAUGUAGUUAGCGGCAACCAGUUUUUGACAUCGGCGGUCAUGUACCUCCUAUUGUUCUCACACUGUUCACGUGCACGUUUACUAACCUAACCUACGCACUACAAUAUUAUUCACAGUACUAUAUACUAUAAACUUUGAAUACUAAUGUUAAAAUCUUUACUUGUCAAACAGCAUUUUCAAAAUAUUUAAAUUAAUUUUAAGUUACUACAAUAGAAAACAACACUAUCAUAAUAAUCAAAUAUAUUCAUAACAAAUUGAAUUUAUUUAUUCAAUUUUAUGUUAAAUA